GAUGAACGCUAGCGGUGCGCCUAACACAUGCAAGUCGAGCGUGAUUAGAAGAUAGCUUGCUAUUUUCUAUGAAAGCGGCAAACGGGUGAGUAAUAAGUUGGUACCUACCUCCAAGUCAGGGAUAGCCCAGGGAAACCUGGAUUAAUACCGGAUGUGUCCUACGGGAUAAAGAUUUAUCGCUUGGAGAGGGGCCUGCUUCCUAUCAGUUAGUUGGUGAGGUAAUGGCUUACCAAGACUAUGACGGGUAAUUGGUCUGAGAGGAUGACCAGUCACAAUGGAACUGAGACACGGUCCAUACUCCUACGGGAGGCAGCAGUGAGGAAUCUUCCACAAUGGGCGAAAGCCUGAUGGAGCGACACCGCGUGAAGGAUGAAGGCUUUGUUGUUGUAAACUUCUUUUCUGUGGGAAGAUAAUGACGGUACCACAGGAAUAAGGGACGGCUAACUACGUGCCAGCAGCCGCGGUAAUACGUAGGUCCCAAGCGUUAUCCGGAAUUACUGGGUGUAAAGCGUCUGUAGGCGGAUAGGUAAGUUUUGUAUAAAAGACCGGAGCUCAACUCCGUGUUUGUGCAAAAAACUGCCUGUCUAGAAUUAGGGAGGGGUAAGCGGAAUGGU
rnacentral:rRNA from 1 species